rnacentral:rRNA from 1 species
AGCGGCAGGCUUAACACAUGCAAGUCGAGGGGCAGCAUGAUGAAACUUUCGGGUUCAUUGAUGGCGACCGGCGCAAGGGUGCGUAACGCGUGAGCAACUUGCCCUUAUCAGGGGGAUAACCGGUGGAAACGCCGACUAAUACCCCAUAGCAUCAACUUUAGGCAUCUUUAGUGAUUAAAGAAUUUCGGAUAAGGAUAGGCUCGCGUGACAUUAGCUAGAUGGCGGGGUAACGGCCCACCAUGGCGACGAUGUCUAGGGGUUCUGAGAGGAAGGUCCCCCACACUGGAACUGAGACACGGUCCAGACUCCUACGGGAGGCAGCAGUGAGGAAUAUUGGUCAAUGGUCGGGAGACUGAACCAGCCAAGUAGCGUGAAGGAUGAAGGUUCUAUGGAUUGUAAACUUCUUUUAUACGGGAAUAACACCAUCUACGUGUAGAUGCCUGCAUGUACCGUAUGAAUAAGCAUCGGCUAACUCCGUG